UAGAAAAAUAAAAAAAAUUUCUUCUGGAAUUUGUCAAAAGGGUGUUGUGUUAUUCUUCAUUUUAAGAGCAGUUUUAGAGAAGCUGAUCGCUUUUUUAGCAAGUUCAACUUAUUUUCUCAUACAUAAAUUAAGGUU